AGUGGCGAACGGGUGAGUAACGCGUGAGUAUCUGCCCUUAGGAGGGGGACAACAGUUGGAAACGACUGCUAAUACCCCAUAUGUCUACGGAUGAAAGAUUUUAUCGCCUGAGGAUGAGUUCGCGUCUGAUUAGCUAGUUGGUGAGGUAAAGGCUCACCAAGGCGACGAUCAGUAGCUGGUCUGAGAGGAUGAUCAGCCACACUGGGACUGAGACACGGCCCAGACUCCUACGGGAGGCAGCAGUGGGGAAUUUUCCGCAAUGGGGGCAACCCUGACGGAGCAAUACCGCGUGCGGGAGGACGGCCUGUGGGUUGUAAACCGCUUUUCUCAGGGAAGAAGACCUGACGGUACCUGAGGAAUCAGCAUCGGCUAACUCCGUGCCAGCAGCCGCGGUAAUACGGAGGAUGCAAGCGUUAUCCGGAAUUAUUGGGCGUAAAGCGUCCGUAGGUGGUUAAUCAAGUCUGCUGUUAAAGAGCGGAGCUCAACUUCGUUUAAGCGGUGGAAACUGGUUGACUAGAGAGUGGUAGGGGUAGAGGGAAUUCCCAGUGUAGCGGUGAAAUGCGUAGAUAUUGGGAAGAACACCGGUGGCGAAAGCGCUCUACUGGGCCACAUCUGACACUGAUGGACGAAAGCUAGGGGAGCGAAAGGGAUUAGAUACCCC
rnacentral:rRNA from 1 species